GCUACACUGGGCGAGCAGCUGCGGUAAAGAAGAGGGUGGGGGUGUUAAUCGGGAGUACUGGGCGUAAGGUGAGGGUAGGGUGCUGAGUAGUGCACAUGUGAAAUCCACGGGCUUAACCUGGGAACUGCAUGGGAUACUGGUGGUGCUAGAAUAUGUGAGAUGGAAGUAGAAUUCCAGGGGUAGCGGUGAAAUGCGUAGAGAUCUGGAGGAAUACCGAUGGCGAAGGCAGCUUCCUGGCAUAAUAUUGACACUGAGAUUCGAAAGCGUGGGUAGCAAACAGGAUUAGAUACCCUGGUAGUC
rnacentral:rRNA from 1 species